rnacentral:rRNA from 1 species
AUUGAACGCUGGCGGCAUGCCUUACACAUGCAAGUCGAACGGCAGCAUGGGUGCUUGCACCUGAUGGCGAGUGGCGAACGGGUGAGUAAUGCAUCGGAACGUACCCGGAAGUGGGGGAUAACGUAGCGAAAGUUACGCUAAUACCGCAUAUUCUGUGAGCAGGAAAGAGGGGGAUCGCAAGACCUCUCGCUUUCGGAGCGGCCGAUGUCGGAUUAGCUAGUUGGCGGGGUAAAGGCCCACCAAGGCAACGAUCCGUAGCGGGUCUGAGAGGAUGAUCCGCCACACUGGGACUGAGACACGGCCCAGACUCCUACGGGAGGCAGCGGUGGGGAAUUUUGGACAAUGGGCGCAAGCCUGAUCCAGCCAUGCCGCGUGAGUGAAGAAGGCCUUCGGGUUGUAAAGCUCUUUCGGCCGGGAAGAAAUCGCACAGGUUAAUACCCUGUGUGGAUGACGGUACCGGAAUAAGAAGCACCGGCUAACUACGUGCCAGCCGCCGCCGUAACAC